rnacentral:rRNA from 1 species
CCUACGGGAGGCAGCAGUAGGGAAUUUUCGUCAAUGGGCGCAAGCCUGAACGAGCGAUGCCGCGUGCGUGAAGAAGGCCUUCGGGUCGUAAAGCUCUGUUGCGGGGGAAACCAGGCAGCAUCAGGAACUGGGUGCUGACUGAUGGUGCCCCGCCAGAAAGUCACGGCUCACUACGUGCCAGCCGCGGCGGUAAUACGUAGGUGGCGAGCGUUAGCCGGAAUGAUUGGGCGUAAGGGGUGAGCAGGCGGUCCUGCAAGUCUGGAGUGAAACGCAUGAGAGCAACUCAUGCAUGGCUUUGGAAACUGGAGGAAUGGAGAGCAGGAGAGGGCGGUGGAACUCAAUGUGUAGCGGUAAAAUGCGUAGAUAUAUGGAAGAACACCAGUGGCGAAGGCGGCCGCCUGGCCUGUUGCUGACGCUGAGGCACGAAAGCGUGGGGAGCAAAUAGGAUUAGAUACCCUAGUAGUC